AGAGUUUGAUCCUGGCUCAGAACGAACGCUGGCGGCAGGCCUAACACAUGCAAGUCGAGCGCCCGCAAGGGAGCGGCAGACGGGUGAGUAACGCGUGGGAACGUGCCCUUUGGUUCGGAAUAUUCCCGGGAAACUGGGAGCAAAACCGGAUAAGCCCUUCGGGGGAAAGCUUACGCCAAAGGAUCGGCCCGCGUUAGAUUAGGUAGUUGGUGGGGUAACGGCCUACCAAGCCUACGAUCUAUAGCUGAUCUGAGAGGAUGAUCAGCCACACUGGGACUGAGACACGGCCCAGACUCCUACGGGAGGCAGCAGUGGGGAAUCUUGGACAAUGGGCGCAAGCCUGAUCCAGCCAUGCCGCGUGGAUGACUGAAGGCCCUAGGGUUGUAAAGUCCUUUCGACGGGGACGAUAAUGACGGUACCCGUAGAAGAAGCCCCGGCUAACUUCGUGCCAGCAGCCGCGGUAAUACGAAGGGGGCUAGCGUUGUUCGGAUUUACUGGGCGUAAAGGGCGCGUAGGCGGAUUUUUAAGUCGGGGGUGAAAUCCCGGAGCUCAACUCCGGAACUGCCUUCGAUACUGGAAGUCUGGAGCACGGUAGAGGUGAGUGGAAUUCCGAGUGUAGAGGUGAAAUUCGUAGAUAUUCGGAGGAACACCAGUGGCGAAGGCGGCUCACUGGACCGUUGCUGACGCUGAGGCGCGAAAGCGUGGGGAGCAAACAGGAUUAGAUACCCCGGUAGU
rnacentral:rRNA from 1 species